ACUUUCGUUUUUCUUUAGUUAAAAUUGAGAAUCAGACCUUGAUAAUUAUGUGAGCUAAAGCUAAUCUCUUAUUUCACUUUAAAAGGCUUGAAUUUGAUAAACUGAUCUUAAUAUUUUCCUUUUUAGUUAAUGUUAACAAGCGGUUUAUGUUGCAUAAUGCAUUCUGAAAUAAAUAUUGCUUGAAUAGACUAAAGAAAGAUACCUAAAAUAGUAAGCCAAAUCAGUGCAUUUUAAGCUCAUUAGUUUAGGUUUAAAACUGCACCAGAAUGUUGCUGAACCAAAUCACGAGUUAGACAUAUUUCAAACUUUUGAUCCAACACUGUUUUAAAAGUAGUAUGUUGAAGUAUGCAAUCUGGAAAGUAUGGCUUUGAAACCGAUUUUAGGAAGUAUAUUUUUGUAGAUUGUAAAUUGUAGCUCGAAUUUUGAAUAAUACAAUGUCAUUAUAACCUUGAAGAUGUUAACCUAAAUUCUCUAAAACAAACGUGAUGUUUCAUAUAAGACCUCCAUAUCGGAACUCUGUUUUAUUAGUAUGUAUUGAAUCUUUCAAUUACAAUUUGAUCAUUAAUUUGAGACGACGAUAAAGUCAAAUUUGAAAUAAAGAAUUCUACAGACGUUCUUUAGAACUCGGCCUCGGUAUGGAAUCAACCGUGCACAACGUUGUCCAUUAGGGCUUGCCUUGAUCUGCGGGUCAUGGAAGUUGUUCCCUUUCUAGGUUGGAUCUCUUUUGGUUCACUAGAUGAGUUAUUUUACUCAUUUUCUCCUUGGGAUUCUCAAAAGAUUCCUUAAAUCAGACAAACAAGAUUAUGUAAUCUAGGUCAAAAACUUGCAUCAAACUGUUCUCUGCCUGAACCCAAACAUGAUGACAUCUACACAGGAAAUGAGCGAGAAAUUGUGGUAUUGGAGUCAGUAGUAUUGCAUACUCUGGAAAAAGAAGAAACUUAAAGGUGAACAAGAGCGUGAAGUUUCUGAAAAAAAUGGUAAAUUAAAAUCUUAGAACAUAAUUAUGCACCAUUAUUAUGUGUGAUUAUUUUAGUAGAGAGAUUUUCUAGUGUGUGUGCUCAAGUGUAAAGAUUGCUCAUAUUCAAAUUGUCAAAUGAUAAAAAGUAG